rnacentral:rRNA from 1 species
AUUGAACGCUGGCGGCAUGCUUUACACAUGCAAGUCGAACGGCAGCGCGGGCUUCGGCCUGGCGGCGAGUGGCGAACGGGUGAGUAAUGCAUCGGAACGUACCCAGUAGUGGGGGAUAGCCCGGCGAAAGCCGGAUUAAUACCGCAUACGACCUGAGGGUGAAAGCGGGGGACCGAAAGGCCUCGCGCUAUUGGAGCGGCCGAUGUCGGAUUAGCUAGUUGGUGGGGUAAAGGCUUACCAAGGCGACGAUCCGUAGCUGGUCUGAGAGGACGACCAGCCACACUGGGACUGAGACACGGCCCAGACUCCUACGGGAGGCAGCAGUGGGGAAUUUUGGACAAUGGGGGCAACCCUGAUCCAGCCAUGCCGCGUGCGAGAAGAAGGCCUUCGGGUUGUAAACCGCUUUUGUUCGGGAAGAAAUCCUCUGGGCUAAUACCCCGGGGGGAUGACGGUACCGGAAGAAUAAGCACCGGCUAACUACGUG